AGUGGGCGGGGGGCGCUGUGGAGAGCACCUCUCUGGGGCCUGUCGGGGCGCCGCCCGCCGGCGCAGGGCUGCCAGCCACGUUGCAGCGCAGCCCCAUCUGCAAGAGAGGAUCCCGCCCCCGGAGCAGCAGCGUCUGACCGCAGCCCUCUGGGGAGUAAAAAUACUGGGGGGGGGAGACAGCUGGAGAUACCAGAGUGCCCACCCCCCAGCGCAGCUGGGAGCCUGGCCCCAGCCUCAUCUCUCCUUCCCACCCUUAAUGUUUCUGUCUGGAGUGCUGCGGGUCGCGGGCUGUCAGAGAGAAGGUGGGCGAGACCAAUGAAGAACUUCAACCUCAUUUUCAGUGAACUAAUUGACAUGCGAGUAAACUGGUACAAUAGGAAGAUAAAGACCUACUGGAAUUAAUCAGUGAUCUGUUUUUAAGGUGAAAAACAUGACACUUGGUGUAGUAGGAGAAAAUAUAGUAGACAUCUGUCCCUGUGACUGAAAAACAGAAGUGAGACCAUAGGAGUACAGUCUAAAAAGGCUGGAAUCGGCUGUAAAAGAAAUCCCACAUCUGAAUAUCUUCUAAUUAUCUCUCAUCUUGAACUAAGACUCUCACUACAAUGUCCUAUGGGGUAAUAAAACAUAAAGGCUGCUAGAAGUAACAGACUAAUCUAUAGAAAUUUCAUUUUGAAGCAUUUUAGGUUUAUGCUAGGAAUUGAAGACAGCACUAGCCAUGCUAAUGGGACUUAAACACCACUCUUAGGAAACAUGACUUUGUUUAACCAAUAGGCAAAAAUGUAAAUAUCACUAAUGGUUUAGCCUGUGUCAUAUGAAAUGCUCUGGAAUUGUAGAUAAAGCUGCCAUAUAAUUUAAACAGCUAGGGUUGUUUAAUACUAGGGCUGUCAAGCGAUUAAAAAAUUAAUCAUGCUCUUAAAGAGUAAUAGAAUACUAUUUACAUAUUUGUUGAUGUUUUCUACAUUUGCAAAUAUACUUAUUUCAAUUAUAACACAAAGUUUAUAGUGCUCACCUUACAUUUUUGAUAAUUACUUCUACUGUAAAAAGAAUAGUAUUUUUCAAUUCACCAAAUAUUACUGUAGUGCAAUCUCUUUAUAAUGAAAACUUACAAAUGCUUGAAUUAUGUACAAAAAAAGCUGCAUUCAAAAAUUUUAAAAAAAAGUAAAAUUUUAAGCGCCUGUAAAUCCACUCAGUCCUACUACUUAUUCAGCCAGUUGCUCAAACAAACAAGUUUGUUUACAUUUACAGGAGAUAAUGCUGCUCCCUUCUUGUUUACAAUGUCACCUGAAAGUCAGACAAACAUUGUAGCAGGCAUCACAAGAUAUUUACGUGCCAGAUGCACUAAAAAUUCAUAUCCCUUCCUGCUUCAACCACCAUUCCAGGGGACAUGCGUCCAUUCUGAUGAUGGGUUCUGCUCGAUAACAAUCCAAAGCAGUGCAGACCGAUGGAUGUUCAUUUUCAUUAUCUGAGUCAGAUA